UACGUAGGGGCCUAGCGUUGUCCGGAUUUAUUGGGCGUAAAGAGCUCGUAGGCGGUUCGGUAAGUCAGGUGUGAAAUCUCCACGCUCAACCUGGAGACGCCACUUGAUACUGCUGUGGCUAGAGUCCGGUAGGGGAGCGUGGAAUUCCUGGUGUAGCGGUGAAAUGCGCAGAUAUCAGGAAGAACACCCGUGGCGAAGGCGGCUCUCUGGGACGGUACUGACGCUGAGACGCGAAAGCGUGGGGAGCGAACAGG
rnacentral:rRNA from 1 species